GGAGGGAGGGUAGAGGAAGGGAGUGGAGGGUACAGAGUGUCAGGAAGAGCGAGGGUGUAACAGGGAAAGUACUGGUCUGUGCUGCGUGUGGGAAGUGACUUUAGUGGCAACGUGAAGGCGAGGACACGAGUGAGGUGCUGGCAGGCUGACUGAGAACGUCAUUGUACGACAGAGUAGCCAGCUAAACAGCCGAGCCCUCAGCGUGCGCCUCCCGCCGGACAAGGGACCCUACAUCCAACACUACCUCAUUGAGAUCCACAACGAAGGCUCCUCCUACUCACUCCAAGCUUCUGAAAACCGCUUCGACACCCUUCCUUCGCUCAUCACCUAUUAUUCUCAGUGCUGCGAAGAGUUGCUGGCUCAGCUCAAGCUUCCUCGCACCGUCCAGGAGGCCAAGACCCGCCAUGAACUCAGCUCUCUCUCGCUGCUCGGACAAGGUGGUGCAUCACAGCGUCAGACUCACAGAGGAUGUGUAGCCGAGGCAAUGACACGUGGACGGCGCUGAUGGCGGCCAGAACCUCUUGGGCGUCUUGGUCACACACGGCCAGGCUGAGCACCCCCAGGUCCCGCCACUCCUGCAGCAGCUGUGUGCCGGCACCACUUAAGUGACCCAUGAACCUCUCAAGGAAGAUGAGCUUCGCGCGACGGACGCAAACUUUCGGAGCGGCGGCCAUGGUGGAGGGCUUGGGACACAGUUCUUCUCGCCAGCAGCCUGCAAAGAAAUUUCCCAAAAACAGUUGGCCAAAAUAAUAAUGGCAGAAGUAAGACUAAGCUUUGAAGAAAGAACAUGUCAUAAAGUGUUACUGGAGGCACGAAAAUGUCAAAGAAGUGCAAAGACAAUUCACAAGACACUUUGACAGGGAUCCACCAAGGUGACGCGCCAUUGC